CCUCCGACCAAACUGAACAAACAUAAAUCAAACAGACAGGAAAAAGAUGAUUAAAUCUUGGUCUAGUUGAUGAUUAUAUUAUAUAGUAUCAUAUAUAAUUAAGCGGUAAGCUGUUCCUCCUUGUGGGUCUCAAUAACAACAUCACUCUGAGGGUAAGCAACACAAGUGAGGACAAAACCUGCAGCAAUCUGGUCAUCAUCAAGGAAAUUACCGUCGGAUUGAUCGACGGAGCCUUGCUUAAUCAUUCCGGCACACGAAGAACAAGACCCAGCCCUACACGAGAACGGAAGAUCAAUGCCUUCUUCCUCAGCUUGGUCAACGAUGUAAACGUCGUCGGGGCACACGAAUUCUUGGGGUCCUUCGGGUGUUAACAGUGUCACUUUGUAUGCAGCCAUGGUGAGACGGCCAUUUCGUUGGGGUUUUAGCCCGAAAAGAGAUUGGUUGAAAGGAAGGGAGCUUAGGGUUUUCGGGGCCGGGUGGCCGCGGAGGAAAGAGGUGGUGGCUACGGCGGUGGAGAGGGAAGCUGUGGAGGCCAUUUUUUAAGUGGAAUUUUGAGGGUUUCAAUUCAAAGGCUAAACUGGCUAUGGCAGUGGUAGCUUUGCAAGGGGUG
rnacentral:lncRNA from 1 species